UACGUAGGGUGCGAGCGUGUCCGGAAUUAUUGGGCGUAAAGAGCUCGUAGGCGGUUUGUCGCGUCGACUGUGAAAACCUACAGCUUAACUGUGGGCUUGCAGUCGAUACGGGCAGACUUGAGUUCGGUAGGGGAGACUGGAAUUCCUGGUGUAGCGGUGAAAUGCGCAGAUAUCAGGAGGAACACCGGUGGCGAAGGCGGGUCUCUGGGCCGAUACUGACGCUGAGGAGCGAAAGCGUGGGGAGCGAACGG
rnacentral:rRNA from 1 species